rnacentral:rRNA from 1 species
UGGGGAAUAUUGGACAAUGGGCGAAAGCCUGAUCCAGCCAUGCCGCGUGUGUGAAGAAGGUCUUCGGAUUGUAAAGCACUUUAAGUUGGGAGGAAGGGCAGUAAGCGAAUACCUUGCUGCUUUGACGUUACCGACAGAAUAAGCACCGGCUAACUCUGUGCCAGCAGCCGCGGUAAUACAGAGGGUGCAAGCGUUAAUCGGAAUUACUGGGCGUAAAGCGCGCGUAGGUGGUUCGUUAAGUUGAAUGUGAAAGCCCCGGGCUCAACCUGGGAACUGCAUCCAAAACUGGCGAGCUAGAGUAGGGCAGGGGGUGGUGGAAUUUCCUGUGUAGCGGUGAAAUGCGUAGAUAUAGGAAGGAACACCAGUGGCGAAGGCGACCACCUGGGCUCAUACUGACACUGAGGUGCGAAAGCGUGGGGAGCAAACAGG